rnacentral:rRNA from 1 species
UACGAAGGGGGGCUAGCGUUACUCGGAAUCACUGGGCGUAAAGCGCACGUAGGCGGCUUUCUAAGUCAGGGGGUGAAAUCCUGGAGCUCAACUCCAGAACUCGUCCUUGAUACUGGAGAGCUUGAGUCCGGAAGAGGUGAGUGGAACUCCGAGUGUAGAGGUAGAAAUUCGUAGAUAUUCGGAAGAACACCAGUGGCGAAGGCGGCUCACUGGACCGGUACUGACGCUGAUGCGCGAAAAGCGUGGGGAGCAAACGGG